AGAACGAACGCUGGCGGCAUGCCUAAUACAUGCAAGUCGAACGAACUCUUCGGAGUCAGUGGCGCACGGGUGCGUAACGCGUGGGAAUCUGCCCCUUGGUUCGGAAUAACAGUUGGAAACGACUGCUAAUACCGGAUGAUGACGAAAGUCCAAAGAUUUAUCGCCAAGGGAUGAGCCCGCGUAGGAUUAGCUAGUUGGUGAGGUAAAGGCUCACCAAGGCAACGAUCCUUAGCUGGUCUGAGAGGAUGAUCAGCCACACUGGGACUGAGACACGGCCCAGACUCCUACGGGAGGCAGCAGUAGGGAAUAUUGGACAAUGGGACGAAAGCCUGAUCCAGCAAUGCCGCGUGAGUGAUGAAGGCCUUAGGGUUGUAAAGCUCUUCUACCGAGAUGAUAAUGACAGUAUCGGAGAAUA
rnacentral:rRNA from 1 species